GGCACAUAGCAAACAGUAUGUAAAACAGUAUGACACCAAAGAGGAGUAGGGAGAGAUCUACACACACAGAGGAGGAUGAGAUGACAGUAAGGGGUCUCUG